rnacentral:rRNA from 1 species
GACGAACGCUGGCGGCGUGCCUAAUACAUGCAAGUAGGACGCAGUUGCGAACGGGUGAGUAACGCGUAGGUCACUGCCUAUUGGUGGGGGCUAACAAUUGGAGACGAUAGCUAAUACCGCAUACUAGUCGAUGGACCUGCGUUGUAUUAGCUAGUAGGUAGGGGAAUGGCCUACCUAGGCAACGAUACAUAGACGAGCUGGGAGGGUGGUCGGCCAAAAUGGGACUGAGAAACGGGCCAGAAUCCUACGGGAGGCAGCAGUAGGGAAACUUCGGCAAUGGGGGGAACCCUGAACGCGCCACGCCGCGGGAGUGAAGAAGGUUUUCGGAUCGGAAAGCUCCGUUGUGAAGGAAGCGGUACUUACCGAGAAAGCGACGGCUAACUACGUGCCAGCAGCCGCGGUAAUAC